CGCGUAGGCGGCGGGGUAAGUCGGGUGUGAAAUCUCAGAGCUCAACUCUGAAACUGCACUCGAUACUGCUUUGCUUGAGGACUGGAGAGGAGACUGGAAUUCACGGUGUAGCAGUGAAAUGCGUAGAUAUCGUGAGGAAGACCAGUGGCGAAGGCGGGUCUCUGGACAGUUCCUGACGCUGAGGCGCGAAGGCCCAGGGGGAGCAAACGG
rnacentral:rRNA from 1 species